UACGAAGGGUGCAAGCGUUACUCGGAAUUACUGGGCGUAAAGCGCGCGUAGGCGGUUUGUUAAGUCAGCUGUGAAAGCCCCGGGCUCAACCUGGGAACUGCAGUUGAUACUGUCCGACUAGAGUACGAGAGAGGGAGGUAGAAUUCCAUGUGUAGCGGUGAAAUGCGUAGAUAUAUGGAGGAAUACCAGUGGCGAAGGCGGCCUCCUGGCUCGAUACUGACGCUGAGGUGCGAAAGCGUGGGGAUCAAACAGG
rnacentral:rRNA from 1 species